GACGAACGCUGGCGGCGUGCUUAACACAUGCAAGUCGAACGCUGAAGGCCCAGCUUGCUGGGUUGGAUGAGUGGCGAACGGGUGAGUAACACGUGAGUAACCUGCCCCCUUCUUUGGGAUAACGGUCGGAAACGGCUGCUAAUACCGGGUAUUCACUGUCCUUCGCAUGGGGGGUGGUGGAAAGGUUUUUUCUGGUGGGGGAUGGGCUCGCGGCCUAUCAGCUUGUUGGUGGGGUGAUGGCUUACCAAGGCUUUGACGGGUAACCGGCCUGAGAGGGUGACCGGUCACAUUGGGACUGAGAUACGGCCCAGACUCCUACGGGAGGCAGCAGUGGGGAAUAUUGCACAAUGGGCGAAAGCCUGAUGCAGCGACGCCGCGUGAGGGAUGGAGGCCUUCGGGUUGUAAACCUCUUUCGCUCAUGGUCAAGCCGCAACAGUGGUUGUGGUGAGGGUAGUGGGUAAAGAAGCACCGGCUAACUACGUGCCAGCAGCCGCGGUAAUACGUAGGGUGCGAGCGUUGUCCGGAAUUAUUGGGCGUAAAGGGCUUGUAGGCGGUUUGUCGCGUCUGCCGUGAAAUCCUCUGGCUUAACUGGGGGCGUGCGGUGGGUACGGGCAGGCUUGAGUGCGGUAGGGGAGACUGGAACUCCUGGUGUAGCGGUGGAAUGCGCAGAUAUCAAGAAGAACACCGGUGGCGAAGGCGGGUCUCUGGGCCGUUACUGACGCUGAGGAGCGAAAGCGUGGGGAGCGAACAGG
rnacentral:rRNA from 1 species